UACGAAGGGUGCUAGCGUUGUUCGGAAUCACUGGGCGUAAAGGGUGCGUAGGCGGCUUUGCAAGCCAGAGGUGAAAGCCUGGAGCUCAACUCCAGAACUGCCUUUGGAACUGCAUAGCUAGAGUGUCGGAGGGGAUAGCGGAAUUUCUAAUGUAGCGGUGAAAUGCGUAGAUAUUAGAAGGAACACCGGUGGCGAAGGCGGCUAUCUGGACGACAACUGACGCUGAGGCACGAAAGCGUGGGGAUCAAACAGG
rnacentral:rRNA from 1 species